CUUUGUACACACCGCCCGUCACACCAUGGGAGCUGACUCAACCAGAGGACGAUCAGGAUAACCGUAAGGGUCCUUCGGCGAAGGUGGGGUUGGUGACUGGGGUG
rnacentral:rRNA from 1 species